UCCAUACAGACCCCUCAUUGAUGAGUGUAACACCUGAAAAGCACAGUUGUUACUCUCUGCUCCUCACCACGGGGCUUCUCAGGGGCUGCGAGCAAAUCACUUCGGCCAAGUAGCAGAAGUAGCAGCCGAUUACCUCCAGGACCCUUGGCAUGCUAGGCUAGCGGUGGGUGCGUCAGACAGUUACGACACACACACAGAUGAGAAGGCUAUGUAUGGACAUAUCUAACUCUGGGGGAUACGGGGAAUAAGCUUAAGUCCAAAUAAGUCAACAUGUUCCUUUAACACACUA